GCUCAACCGAAGAAGUGCAUCGGAAACUGGGAAACUUGAGUGCAGAAGAGGGCAGUGGAACUCCAUGUGUAGCGGUGAAAUGCGUAGAUAUAUGGAAGAACACCAGUGGCGAAGGCGGCUGUCUGGUCUGUAACUGACGCUGAGGCUCGAAAGUAUGGGUAGCAAACAGGAUUAGAUACCCUGGUAGUCCAUACCGUAAACGAUGAAUGUUAAGUGUUGGAGGGUUUCCGCCCUUCAGUGCUGCAGCUAACGCAUUAAGCAUUCCGCCUGGGGAGUACGGCCGCAAGGCUGAAACUCAAAGGAAUUGACGGGGGCCCGCACAAGCGGUGGAGCAUGUAGUUUAAUUCGAAGCUACGCGAAGAACCUUACCAGGUCUUGACAUACUAUGCAAAUCUAAGAGAUUAGACGUUCCCUUCGGGGACAUGGAUACAGGUGGUGCAUGGUUGUCGUCAGCUCGUGUCGUGAGAUGUUGGGUUAAGUCCCGCAACGAGCGCAACCCUUAUUAUCAGUUGCCAGCAUUAAGUUGGGCACUCUGGUGAGACUGCCGGUGACAAACCGGAGGAAGGUGGGGAUGACGUCAAAUCAUCAUGCCCCUUAUGACCUGGGCUACACACGUGCUACAAUGGAUGGUACAACG
rnacentral:rRNA from 1 species